rnacentral:rRNA from 1 species
AGGUAAUAAUUAAUUAAUUAAACCUAUUUAUUUUGGCGGCAUUCAUUCUUAAUAGAGGAACUUGUUUAUUAAUCGAUAAUCCCCGAUAAAUUUUACUAAAAAUCAUAAUUUAUAUACCUCCAUCUAAAGAAUUAAUUAAAAAUAUUUUUCUUAAAAAAUAAUAAAAAGAUAGGUCAAGGUGUAAUCAAUAUUUUAGAAUAAAAUGAGUUACAAUAAAAAUUAUUUUUAAGGAUUAAAAAUUUAAAAAAUUUUAUAAAAAAGGAUUUAAAAGUAAUUUUAAAAUAAUAUUUUCUGAUGAACUAAAAAAUAAAUGUGC